CAGCAGCCGCGGGAAAACAGAGGGUGCAAGCGUUAAUCGGAAUUACUGGGCGUAAAGCGCGCGUAGGUGGUUUGUUAAGUUGGAUGUGAAAUCCCCGGGCUCAACCUGGGAACUGCAUUCAAAACUGACUGACUAGAGUAUGGUAGAGGGUGGUGGAAUUUCCUGUGUAGCGGUGAAAUGCGUAGAUAUAGGAAGGAACACCAGUGGCGAAGGCGACCACCUGGACUGAUACUGACACUGAGGUGCGAAAGCGUGGGGAGCAAACAGGAUUAGAUACCCCGGUAGUCCCUGUCUCUUAUAC
rnacentral:rRNA from 1 species